AGCGGGGCGGAGCCAGGGGCCGUCUGCCCGCCUCCUCGCCUGGCUGGGGCGGCCCGGGCUCCGGGGCACACUGCUAUUGGUCCAUGGGGGAGCAGGGCGUUGCCCUUUCUGCGCCGCCAUUGGUCUGUUCUGUAGCUGGGCGGUGCUCUGGCCACGCCGCCAUUGGCCGUUAGUGAAUGAGGGCGGUGCCCGGGCCCCAGCAACAGCGCGCGGCUGCAGGACGCGUAGCGCUGCGGGGAAACCUCGGCGCCCUGACUGUGGUGGGCUCUGUCUGUGUGCCGCUUCCCGGGCCUGAGAGCUAGAAGAAGCAAUGGCUCCGCCUGGGUGCCCGCAGCUGCCUAGUACUUAGCCUUGCAUCAGCAGCAGCCCCUUGGCGAGGAUGCUGUCCACUCCCGCGUUUUCCCGAUAGAUCAGAGAAUAGGGUUGGCGCGCUUACCCUGUUGUUCUCGCGGUCUGGAUCUGAGUUGUACUCCUGGGAGGUGCAGUCUACAAUUGCAAAGCUGUCAGAGGCUGCCUGAACUGGGACCCGAGCCUUCAGACAAGAGGCCUCUGCUUAUUUUGUAAUGAGAUGCCUCGCAUUGUUCGUUUCUUAUCUGCCCCUUCGUUUAUAUUCUUUGAGUUUGGUGUCAAGACAGAUUCUUCACCUCGCAUGUCUCAAAAUGGACAAUUGCAAUAACUUGGAGACAUUCAUGAGCAUGCAUACGCGAGCGGGGGCGGGGUGGGUUUGCUUUGCCAUCUUUCUUGUCAUCCAAGCCUGCGCUCCAAAACCUUCGUAAAUACUGGAUUAUUUCACGCUUCUAUUCAAAAACUAUCAAAAGACUAUCAAUUUAGGAAUCCAGUAUCUUAACGUUAGGUUUGCAUCUGUUUACGGGCGGUAACACCAGACCUUGAGUCCCAGAAAGCACUGUGGAGGAUGGCAGUGGGAGAUGAAGAAAGAUAGCGGGGUCAGAGUGAUGAGGAAACCCCGGAGGAGCACCUGAUAGGCAAUGUUGGAAAAGUUCCAGGACCCUCGGGGGCUCCUCUAAAUGCUGCUGUAAAGACUACUAAAGCACCAGGAGUACUUUCACACCAGGAAUGGAGUUUUUACUUUCUUUUUUAACACUAUCUCGUUUACUUACUCAAUAGCCUUCAGAAAACGAUUAUUAUUCAGUGAAGAAUAUUCACAUCCCUUCAGAUCUCAACUGUUUUCAUUGUAAACUUGCUCAGUUUUGAUUCAUCAGCGCCUCAUCUCUGCUUCCAGAUUUUUUAAGCCAACCUCGAAUUUGCUGUUUUCAAGCAAUGACAAGGAAACAACAUCCAGGCUCCCUUUACCUUUAGACUUCUGAUCCUUCCAGAAAAAAUAAAAAUAAAAGAUUGACCUCAACAUAGCUGGAGGAUGAGUAAAAUCCACACAGAGAGAAGAGUGCUAUCUGUCCCAGCUGCCAGAAUCAAGCUCCAGACAGUCUCCAGAAAGCCCCUGGAUGAUUUCACUUGUCACCUACCCUCUGGUCUUUCAAGCCACCCUCACUAAUGCCAUCUGGAGCACAGAUGAGCUGUUCCACUCAGCCCUGCCCAAACCGCAUAGCCACAAACGAAUUGUUGCCACUGUUUUAAGCCAUGGCUUGGGGUCGUUUGUUACACAAUAAUAAAUAACUGAAAAUGA